rnacentral:lncRNA from 1 species
UCAGACAACUAUAAUUCUAAAAUGCCAACAAGGUAGGUUGAUUAAAGGUAACCGUAUCAUAAGUUUGCCAUGUAUAGUCUUACAAAAUUUUGAAAUACAAAAAAAGAUAAACUAGCAUUAAUAUCAUACAUCUUGAUAAGAAUACCAACAACUGAAAACAUUGUGUACGUUCCGAUAGGAUGAUGUGAGCGGACAACUGAAAUUUAUACUACGCAUAUUGCACGGUCAAUAUCACAAAGUUUUAAACCGAUACAAGUGUGUGCGUCGCAAAUUAUAUUUUGUUAGCGGUCUUAGACAUCAGGAUACUUAAAUCGUAGUCACUGUAAUUGGAUUUUAUCGAUUGAUUUUUUACUCUACUUAGAUUGUCGGAAAUGACACUGCAUAUAAAAUAAGAAGUAUAUUUACAAUCGGAAUGCGGUCAUCAACAAUGAGCAUCACUCGUAAUGUAAAAAUAAAAAUUAGCCACACAAGCCUCAAUGAUGACAAUUAUAACUAUUGACAACCAAUCGGUGGCCUCCGACUGUUGUCUUAUCAAUGGUCGGGUUGUUGACACAUUCCCCAUUUCCAUUCUCAGUUUUAUCUUUUCAAAGUAAACAAAAAACAUGAAUAUUUCGUGUUGAAUUGCCUUCAGAUGUCACAUGGUCAGAUAUAAAAGUGAAACAGGAUACGGUAGGCAUUAAAGAUGUUGUGCUUCAAGUGAAUAUCUUAUUUUGAAAACAGCUUUUUGAAAUCAAAUUCUUAAAUAGAAAUGGAUUUCAGUUCUAGAAUACAUUUCCAUCCAUCCGAUCCUACAGUUUUAUCCAACACAAAUUCAUCUGUGGCACAUUUGGACUGACAUUGUAACAAAACAUGUCAGUCAUGUUAAUUUUUUAUCAUUAAUUAUCUGGACUAAGUAUAUGCAAUGUCUUACUGUAUCGUGCGAAACUAAUGACAUUGUUUUUCAACAGGAAUUUAUUUAAGGAACUUAGUUCUAACUAAAAUAUUUGACUUUCGAGGACUAAUGAAAUUCUGCUUCUCUGUUGUUAUUCAAUGAACAGUUUGUGCUGUAAUGUUUUAUUGCGAACUAUAAACUUUCUACAGUUUCACCUGCAAGUUAUAUGUCGAUUUAAACUUUUGUUAGUAUUUACUUAGUGUUGUCUGUGUAAAAAAAGGGAUAAUGUUUUUGUCAGGUAAAUAAAUCAAUAAGUGGUAGAUUUCUCUUGGAAGUAAUCUAAAUGUCUCAGUGAAAAUCUAUACAGAGAACAAAGCUAUUGUAUUUAUUAUGAAGAUGGACAAAAGUUUGAAUACCCUGGUCAAGUGCAGAUGACUCUGUGGAAAACUUUCAUUUGGUUAGCAAUAGAUAAUACAGCACCAGCUCAUAUGACAAACAAAAUGACAAAAACUAAGUGAUCUAUUGUUGCAUUGAUGACAAACUAACUACUUUCGAAAUCUUAGUUCACCUGUCCGCUUCACUCGACCAGUCGUCACCAUAUUUAUCCUUUUAACAUUUGUAUAACACUCAACCAUUUUUUUUAUAAAUAAAACGGGGUUUCAAACUAUUGUUUUACAGCCUUGGAGUGUGAAUUAAUGUAAAAAGAAUCGAUGUUUUGUUUUUGGACUGUCAUCUGUUGGACAAUUUGUACAUUACACAUUGAGACAAAAAGAAAUGAAUUGUGGUUGCUUACGGCUAAACUUGAAAUUGUUCUAUUAACUAAAUUAAUAUCAGAAACGUAUUCUUGCAUGCAACAGAAAUUACCAGACUUUCGCCGAUGUACGAAGGUUAUAAUGAUAGAAAAUUUACGUAAAUGAAAACAGAAAUAGUAAAUUAUUAAAACAUGAGUAUAUAAACACAUACGUAAGUGAUUUUUUAAGACUAAAUAUACAAGUCAGUUGCUGUUUGAACAGUUCAACGUUCAUUUCAAAUAAAGAUGCAGCUAAAAACUUUUUUUGUAUUAUUCAUUUUGAUAAAGCUUGUGCAUCCUUUAAUGAUUUCGUUACCAACACGGUAGAUCGAUUAUAAUGUAUCGCAACUGACGAUUGUCAUACACAUCAGCUUUUGUUAUAGUAACUGUAUAAUGAAUAUGUUUAUAACUGUGGUUUUUUUUCUUUAUGUUUGUUGGUAGAAAUGAGGAAAACACGUAUGACACAAUCGGUAUGUCCACUCCAUCUAAAAGGCCAAAUGACCAAGCAGAUUAUAUGGAAGUGUUUUAACUUCUAUCAUUGAAAUUUACGCCUUUAACAUUAUGCUUUGAUGUUCAGCGAUUGCUAACGUAUGAUCCCAAUAUAUCAAUGUAAUCUAGACAUUUUCGUUCUUGGAACCUCUUUUGAAGGAAACUAGAUUGUUUGUCAUUUUUUUUUUACAAUUUAUACAAUUUAUGUUUACGCAGCUUGAUUUGUUUCUGACUUCAGUAAUUUAGUAAUAAGAUUUUUGAAAACAUUUAAUUUGAUUACACACUUUGGAAAGUUAAACACGUAGAUAAAUCUGAUUACAAAAUUAUUCCGUUAACAAUUAUUUGUUUAUGAAAAUGUUUAUCGACUUCAUUUGUGUGGCUGAUCAGUUUUAUAAUUCGUCAACCUUCACGUUUGCGUAUGUCUGCAUAUACUUUCACCAUCCAUUGUAAUGUCAAAUGGUGUACUUCUUUUGUUUUUCAUUCUUUAUGUUUUGUUAUUAGUCUUAUAAAGGCAUUUAAUGUACGUAUAUAUACUGUAUCUGUAUACAUGUAUUGCUAUGCAAUAAAACGUGAAUACUUAUCUUAAUAUUUGACCUAUCACGCUAAUAAAAAAAUUGAAAUGAGAAUAUUGCCAGUGUCCUCAAUUAGCGGCUCUUGUUUUAAACUUUAUUUGUUUGAGAAAUAUAAAUCUUUGCCUCUUUUGUUUUUCUUUGUGUACAUAUUUUUUUAUAGUUAUUAAGAUUAUAACACAAUGUUGACCACCUUACCCCUACAUAUGUUUACCUAUUAUGUCUGUUUUGUUCACACAUCGUUGUCAAAAUUCAUGAAUUUUAUGCGACUGUCAUACAAGUGAGAGGUUUAGCUAGCUAUAUAUAUAACCAGGUUUAACAAACCAUUUGUCUACAUAAGGCAUUGAUUGUACCAAGUCAGAGUUAUCCAUUCGUUUGUCAAAUGUUUGUUUUGAUUGAACUUUUGAUUUUGCCUUUUAAGGAUGUACACCUCUGAGGAGCCAAACAUUUUUAAAAUUAAACUUUUUUUAUUAACCUGAUUUUUGGGUUUAUAAGACUGUAACAAAAUAAUUGUUGAAGAAAAAUUCAUAUGGUGGUACACUUUUUUGUUUGCUACGGCCCUUUGAAAAUGCCCAAUUUUGAUGAAUUACCAAUUUUUCAUCGAUUGUUUAUCUACGUUUGGGCUAUUAUCGUGAAAAUAAUCACAGUUCCACAAUUAAACUUGUGUUCAUACUUUUAUAAAAUGAUUUGUGUUGUACUUGAUUCUUGUAAAAUAUUUUUUUGUAUCCCUCACCUUUUUUCUCAAAUUUUUGGCAAAAAACAUAGACUUGAUUGGUGGUAAAAUUGAAAACUGGAUUACACAAAAUAAAAACCAUGCAUUGUAAAUACAAUUUUUUUUUUCACAGAGUUAUGUUUGAUUAUAAUAUUCAUUGAUAUUUUCC